AUUAGAGUUUGAUCCUGGCUCAGGAUGAACGCUGGCGGCGUGCCUUAGGCAUGCAAGUCGAACGGGAAAGUAGCAAUACUUUCCAGUGGCAGACGGGUGAGUAACGCGUAGGAAUCUACCCCUAGGUGGAGCAUAGCCGGCCGAAAGGUCGGGUAAUUCUCCAUAGUUCUCGUAAGAGUAAAGGACUUAACGGUCCGCCAAGGGAGGAGCCUGCGUCCUAUCAGCUAGUUGGUGAGGUAAAUGCUCACCAAGGCGAUGACGGGUAGCUGGAUUGAGAGGUCGAUCAGCCACAACUGCACUGAGACACGGGCAGUACACCUACGGGUGGCAGCAACCAGGAAUAUUGCGCAAUGGACGAAAGUCUGACGCAGCGACGCCGCGUGGAGGAAGACGGCCUUAGGGUUGUAAACUCCUUUUGCCAAGCCGUUCACAGCUUGGAGAAUAAGCCCCUACUAACUACGUGCCAGAAGUCUCGGUAAUACGUAGGGGGCAAGCGUUAUCCGGAUUUACUGGGCGUAAAGUGUGCGUAGGCGCCCCUUUAAGUCAUGCUUUAAAUACUAGGGCUUAACCCUAGAGCUGAGUGUGAUACUGGAGGGGUAGAGGAUUGAUAGGGCAGCUGGAACAGUACGUGUAGCAGUGAAAUGCGUUGAUAUGUACUGGAACACCAAGGGCGAAGGCAGGCUGCUGGGUUUUUCCUGACGCUGAGGCACGAAAGCUAGGGUAGCGAAACAGAUUAGAUACCUGUGUAGUCCUAGCCGUAAACGAUGUCCGCUAACUUUAGCUGCUUGCAGCUGAGGUUCAAGCUAACGCGUUAAGCGGACCGCCUGGGGAGUACGACCGCAAGGUUAAAACUCAAAGGAAUUGACGGGGACCCGCACAAGCGGUGGAGCAUGUGGUUUAAUUCGACGCAACGCGAAGAACCUUACCUACUCUAGAAUGCUCUCGACAACUCCAGAGAUGGAGCCUUCCGGGUAAAACCGGACGAGAUGCAAGGUGCUGCAUGGCUGUCGUCAGCUCGUGUCGUGAGAUGUUGGGUUAAGUCCCGCAACGAGCGCAACCCUUAUCAUCAGUUACUAACGGGUUAAGCCGAGAACUCUGGUGAGACUGCCGUUGAUAAAACGGAGGAAGGUGGGGAUGACGUCAAGUCAUCAUGGCCUUUAUGAGUAGGGCUACACACGUGCUACAAUGGCGAGUACAAACCGUCGCAAAGCAGCGAUGCGGAGCCAAUCGGAAAAAGCUCGUCUCAGUUCGGAUUGAAGUCUGCAACUCGACUUCAUGAAGUUGGAAUCGCUAGUAAUCGCGGAUCAGCACGCCGCGGUGAAUACGUUCCCGGGUCUUGUACACACCGCCCGUCACAUCACGAAAGUGGGUUGUACUAGAAGCGGUUGAGCUAACCCGUAAGGGAGGCAAACCGUAACGGUAUGAUUCAUGAUUGGGGUGAAGUCGUAACAAGGUAACCAAU
rnacentral:rRNA from 1 species